AAAAAGAAAAACGCUGGUUUUCGUAUCUAACGUUUGAUCGUCCGUCUUAUUUAAAAAAAUUAUAAAAAAAAUUAAAAAGACAAAACACGCAUAAAAUAUUAAUCAUAUUUUAUCAUCUAACAACAAUAAAAUUACGAAUUAUAAAAAAAUCUCAUAUAAGACGGAACGUCAAAGUUGGACACGGAAACUCAGGGUUUGCCUUUUU
rfam:Oryza glaberrima chromosome 7 Oglab07_0110_7, whole genome shotgun sequence.